rnacentral:rRNA from 1 species
GUCUACGACCAUACCACCCUGAACGUGCCCGAUAUUGUUCAAUCUCAGAAGCUAAGCCUGGUUAGUGCUUGGAUGGGAGUAAUAGUCA